GAUGAACGCUGACAGCAUGCUUAACACAUCAGCGACUGAUUGGUGACGGACGGGUGAGUAACGCGUAUAGCACUUGCCUCACAGCUGGGGGCGAGAUAUGGAAACAAAUGCUAAUACAUACUACGGUGAGAGAGCUUUACGUCCCAUUAGCUAGUUGGAGAGGUAACGGCGAACCAAGGCGAGGAUGGGUAGCCGGCCUGAGAGGGUGAUGCGCACAAAGGGGAUUGAGACACGGCCGUUAAUGAUACGGGAGGCAUGAGUGGGGAAUAGUGGACAAUGGACAAAAGUCUGAGCCAGAAAUUCGGUGUGCAAGAUGAAGUUUUCGGAAUGAAAAGUGCUUUCAGUGGGGAAUCGGUACCAACAGAAGAAGUGACGGCUAAAGACGUGCCAGCAGCCGCGGUAAUAC
rnacentral:rRNA from 1 species